rnacentral:lncRNA from 1 species
CAAGAGUUCAAAAAUCUAUCACACGAGUAUGGCAUGGAUAUUGUCAGCUCUGCAGAGAAACUUCAAUAUUUGUUCCUGACUUUACUAAAGAUGUGUUUUUCAAAAUGAAUUUCACUGUGAUUUUAACAGGUUCUAUCUGUGAUCAGAACUCCAUCUGAAUUCCUGCUGCCUACACACAAACAUAUACUGCCUCUUGAGAUACCCAACACUUCCCAACAGGCCUGGCAGAUAUGACAUAGGAUCUGCAGGAGAAUUACAGCUUUCUUGAGUGAUAGCUAGAAGCCAGGAAGGACAGCCUCAGGAAACCCUACAAAAUACUAAAGAGCUGUGGGUUCUGAUUUUCUUUUGACAUUGUAAUUUAUUAUUAAACACAUGUUGGACUCCACAUAUUUGGGGAAGAGAAAGUAUUUGAAGAGAAUGAUUUUGCUUUCUUGUCAGAAAAGAAAAUACUGAAACAAGUUCUUUAGGAAAAUGGCAACUAGACUCUUACUAAUACACAGUCUAAGAAUAAUUCUUUUGAUAUGCCAUGUUUGGUCUUGGACAGCUUUAAAUGUGUUGUUGGCGAUGAGGAGGACCUAGACAAAAAGAUAAGUGUUAUUAGGAGAAUUAGUGAGGAUUUUCCUUUUUUCUAAUUCUGGAGGUUGCAUUCACAGGACUGCUCUGUUCCAGCUGAUGACAUGAAAUGGAGACUUUUCAGGUAUAACAGAAGACAAGAACAAGUGGGAGAUGAGAUAACUAACUGCGUAGAUAUAAAAUGCCCAUAACAGCUAGUCAGUGGACCCCAAUGCCUGCUACGAUGAUAUCUCACAAUUUCAGUAGCCCUGUGGACGAAAAGAUUACUUGUAUCCUCAUUUCCUGGCACCAAUGAGGAGAAUGGAACUAUGUGAUGCGGCUGACAGCACAUUGUGCUGAAGAAACAGCAGCAUUCCUGCUAAGAAACGUCCCGCUGUGAAGGCAUGAACAUUAUGACAACAUGGUGUAUCACACCACAGCCUGAAGGCUCCCAAAACACACACCCUUGAGAAUUCCUGGGACCAAGGAAGUCACCAUGUCGGAGGACAUGAGGCUACCAGCAACAGCUUGUGAUGCAUUUGCUUCAAGGAGAUUGAUGUACAUUCAACACAAGUAAUAUUUUGCUGCAGAGCAGGCAUGGCUGUGACUAGCUGGUGAAGCUGUGGAUUCAGAGUGUGGCCAUAAGAAAGGUGCUUGAAGAAAAGAGGGCAGUGGAGAAUCAGAAGGGAGACUGCACUAAUCAGCAUUUAUGCUUGCACUGAGAGAAAUCUCCAGAGAGCUAAAGGCUGGAACGACUAGCCCUCUGCACCUCCUUCUUCAAGGCUGCUUAUUCCAAAUAAUUACUAAUUACUCACACUGAUGAAGAGAACAAAGAUAACGCUUCCAAGUAUGACUGUAAAAUCAGUGCUUGAGAGCUAACUCAGUGGGCCUUCAAGGACUUCUCUGACGUCUUAUUAGGGAAUUGUAUACUUCUAAGUCACUUACUUCUGGUGUGAUUCUUAGGAAUUUAUGGGAGGUAAAAUGGGAUAAAAUAUUAACCUUACAGGAAAAAAGUGUUGGGAUUAAAUAGUCAUAAUGAAAGACACGUAUGGACUGUCUGCUUUAUGUAGAAGCUUAUUUCUAGUACAUGUGUGUAUCUAGAGGUUUUAACCACAAUGUCUUUUAUUUGUUAUAUGAAUUAUGAAGAAUAUUUUCUUGCUAUUCAUACAAAUGCAAGUCAGUAAAAGAAAAGAUAGGUAGGGAAAAGAAACAAGAAGCACAUAACUUUAGGAAAGGCAACUCUAGUUUGUAAUGAUGUAUACUCUGUUUACUAUAUCCAAUUACUACAGCUGUUUUUCUUAGCCCUUAAGAGAGGUGCCCAUGUCAGGGGCAUGCCCACUGUUUCUUCUGUAGUCAGUAUUUGCUAUUUUCAGAUUUUCAGUGGACAACUGAAAUGCUAAACUAGCUGCAUUUCUAAACCAAACAGAAAUGCAUAACAAUUGGUUUCGUUUUUAAGAGUCUUUCAAGUAGUUCUGGUGUUUGAUCAUUGAAAAUAACUGCAACUAAAGUCACUAAGAGAAAUAAAUAAGGUAAGUAAAUAAGUAAGUAAGUUAAA